rnacentral:rRNA from 1 species
UACGGGGGGGGGCAAGCGUUGUUCGGAAUUACUGGGCGGAAAGGGCUCGUAGGUGGCCAACUAAGUCAGACGUGAAAUCCCUCAGCUUAACUGGGGAACUGCGUCUGAUACUGGAUGGCUUGAGUUUGGGAGAGGGAUGCGGAAUUCCAGGUGUAGCGGUGAAAUGCGUAGAUAUCUGGAGGAACACCGGUGGCGAAGGCGGCAUCCUGGACCAACACUGACACUGAGGAGCGAAAGCCAGGGGAGCAAACGGG